AUGUGGAAAGAUACUUUAUGAAGGCCAUUUUUCUAUUUACUCAAAAGUUUUCUCAUCAAAUGUGAAAAACCGAGAAAAUAUUUAAUUUUAAUUUUGUAAUUGGAAUAAUUGGAAUUGUACCAUAAUAUGAUGUAUAUAUUGUUGAUAAAGCAGCACUAUCAACUAAACUCCACUCAGAAUAGUUUUUUUGUUAGCAAUUGUUUAUCGUUGCUUACAUGUGUACAUUAAAUUACUUAUAACAGUGGCUGCACCCGACCCCAUUAU